rnacentral:rRNA from 1 species
GGAUGAACGCCGGCGGUGUGCCUAAUACAUGCAAGUCGAACGCGUUGGCCCAAUUGAUUGAUGGUGCUUGCACCUGAUUGAUUUUGGUCGCCAACGAGUGGCGGACGGGUGAGUAACACGUAGGUAACCUGCCCAGAAGCGGGGGACAACAUUUGGAAACAGAUGCUAAUACCGCAUAACAGCGUUGUUCGCAUGAACAACGCUUAAAAGAUGGCUUCUCGCUAUCACUUCUGGAUGGACCUGCGGUGCAUUAGCUUGUUGGUGGGGUAACGGCCUACCAAGGCGAUGAUGCAUAGCCGAGUUGAGAGACUGAUCGGCCACAAUGGGACUGAGACACGGCCCAUACUCCUACGGGAGGCAGCAGUAGGGAAUCUUCCACAAUGGGCGCAAGCCUGAUGGAGCAACACCGCGUGAGUGAAGAAGGGUUUCGGCUCGUAAAGCUCUGUUGUUAAAGAAGAACACGUAUGAGAGUAACUGUUCAUACGUUGACGGUAUUUAACCAGAAAGUCACGGCUAACUACGUGCCAGCAGCCGCGGUAAUACGUAGGUGGCAAGCGUUAUCCGGAUUUAUUGGGCGUAAAGAGAGUGCAGGCGGUUUUCUAAGUCUGAUGUGAAAGCCUUCGGCUUAACCGGAGAAGUGCAUCGGAAACUGGAUAACUUGAGUGCAGAAGAGGGUAGUGGAACUCCAUGUGUAGCGGUGGAAUGCGUAGAUAUAUGGAAGAACACCAGUGGCGAAGGCGGCUACCUGGUCUGCAACUGACGCUGAGACUCGAAAGCAUGGGUAGCGAACAGGAUUAGAUACCCUGGUAGUCCAUGCCGUAAACGAUGAGUGCUAGGUGUUGGAGGGUUUCCGCCCUUCAGUGCCGGAGCUAACGCAUUAAGCACUCCGCCUGGGGAGUACGACCGCAAGGUUGAAACUCAAAGGAAUUGACGGGGGCCCGCACAAGCGGUGGAGCAUGUGGUUUAAUUCGAAGCUACGCGAAGAACCUUACCAGGUCUUGACAUCUUGCGCCAACCCUAGAGAUAGGGCGUUUCCUUCGGGAACGCAAUGACAGGUGGUGCAUGGUCGUCGUCAGCUCGUGUCGUGAGAUGUUGGGUUAAGUCCCGCAACGAGCGCAACCCUUGUUACUAGUUGCCA